UACGUAGGCAGCGAGCGUUGUUCGGAGUUACUGGGCGUAAAGCGUGCGUAGGCGGUGUCUUAAGUUUGUUGUGAAAUCUCCCGGCUUAACCGGGAGGGUGCGGCGAAUACUGAGAUGCUGGAGUGCCGGAGAGGUAAGCGGAAUUCCUGGUGUAGCGGUGAAAUGCGUAGAUAUCGGGAGGAACACCGUGGCGGAAGGACGGCGGACCUGGUCCGAGAC
rnacentral:rRNA from 1 species